CUUCCCUGACAGAGCCCGCCCCUCGCAGGCCUGGAGGUUUCUCUGCAAAGGAAACAAACAUUCAAACCUCCGAAUGGCGUGGGUCUUCUCUAGGGAAGAGAAAACCCUGUUACACAGAGGAUGAAUUGAUUUAUGCAGACAGUUUAAAGGGUGUUCGCAGCUCUGAGGAAUGCAAGCGGCAGCAUGAUUUGAAGAGAUAACUACUAACCUGAGCUCAGAGUUUAUCAUUCCGGUUCAUUGAACAAAAGAGUCAUGGGACCAAAGAGAUGGCUCAGCAGGCCUUUCUCUUCAAGCUGGAAAGUGGCACGGCAGAUUCUCACUGCCUCCUGAUUACGCAGUGACUCCGUCUCCCUAACAAAUGGCCCGUGGAGAAUGAAGCGGAAAGCAGGAAUGUCCUCCUUGAAAGCGAUUAUGUGGAAAUUCGGAUUCCAAGGGUGGAGAGCGAAGCAUGUGGUUUUGUGCUGAGCUGUGUAAUACGUCAGGGCUCAGAAGACCGCGUGAGACAGGUAACAGGCAGCAGCAGGCUAUAUUUAGAGAAGAGAGAGAUGAGUGGAAUUCCGGGUCCUGUUGUCCACCUGUCCUGUCUCCAGGUGUUGACAUCUAAAUUAUGAGCCCAGUCAUAGGCUCCCUCCAUGUGCUUCCUUGCCCUUCUUCUGGCCCUGUAGACACACUGGGCUGCCUUUGAUCAUCAGUGCCAUGACUCACCCCCUUUCCACCCAUCCUGAGCACCAGAAAUCAAUAAGAGGAUCAUUUAAAAAUCCAUCCAGGGCCUGAGAAGGGCCCCUUACAAGACGUUGAAUCCUAAAUAAAGGAACAUCAGGGCUGGGAGGUGGAUGUGUUGUUGUUCUCUUUUGACUCAAAGAGAUCUAUUUGUAGCUGUGUACUUUCUCUUGCUAGUGUGGAAUUCUGCCUGGGCUGUUAAUCUAGAUUCUCCUUCAGAUAGCACACAAGAUGGACGGCAUUGGCUUAUUCAUGCUGCAGUGUGAGAGAACUUGAAAAGAGGAUAAAAGUAUGAUUAAUCACCUUUUUUUUUCUCCCUCAGCAUAUCAAUGUUAAAGAUUUGAACUCAAAAUUACAAGUCAGUUUAUGGUGAUUCACAGCAAUUAUUACUACUUACCUGUGUGACUAUAGAAAGUAGGAGUUUGUUUGUUUGCUUUCAAGACACUGUUUUACCAUGCUUAAAACAUUCUGUUUAGACCAGAAAGACCUCGAACUCACGGUGAUCCACUUAGCCCCACCUCCUCAGUGCUGGCAUUAAAGGCAUGUGCCACCAGGCCUGGUCUUAGAACUGUUCUUAUAAAUGGGGUAAAAUGUGCUGUUGAUGUUCCGGUGCCCCAGUGUCCAGUGUCUGAUCUGAGUGUGUUUGGAAGAUUUCAGGCAGGAUUUGGAGACACAAGUCCUUGUGUUUCUAUUGCUGAGGGAAGUUUUCCUUAAAAUGGCAGUUUCUGGUGUCCUCAUUGAGAUGAGAGUUUAGUCUCCCCAUCUUGACAGGAUUGUAGAAGAGCGUGCAUUUUACAAAAGGUAAACGGACUCUCAAUAAAAACACCGAGGGGCUAUGACAUUUCAGAAUCACCCUCUGGGGGAGGUAGCAGACACGAGGAAGGCUCUGGAGUCAGUAAAAGCUUCUUUCAGAUUGCUGGUCCAAGGUGUCAUAUCUGAUUAUUUUAGUGUCCAGGUGAUAAUCAAUAGUUUUAUUGAUUCUUUGAGAGUUUCACAAAGUGUAUUUUAGUGAUACUUAACCCCAGCUCCUCCAAGAUCCACCUUCAUGACCCUUAGCUCCGGACUCACUCAACUUUGUCUUCUUUUUCCCCCCUCCUCUCCCUCCUCCCCCUCCCUCUCCUCCUCCUCCUCCCCUUCUCCCUCCCCCUCUCGGUCAUGAAACCCAUGGAGUCCUGUUUGUGUUGCUGAUCACUCUUGGGACUGGCACCAGCUCUGGAAUUUUUGGUCAGCCUACCAGGGCUCAGAGACAGGUGAUAAUUUUUGCUAUUACUUCGAGAAAAGGCCAAAGAACAGGACCACAUUUCUGCUGCCAUAAACGUAACAAUAAAAUCUAGGAGCAAAACCUUUCUCUGACUGGGUCUCCAGUCCCCAGCCCCCGGGCCAAGUUGUAUUCUGUUUUCUCUCCAUGCUGCAAGGGUUGGGUCCAACAGGGAGACUUAUCCUCACUGUCGACUUGAUUGGCUUUAGAAUCACUUGGGAGAUUGAUGAUAGCAAGAUGCUAGGUGUGUCUGUGAGGCCAUUUGCAGGGAGAGUUAACCGAGCAGGAGUAGGGGCAUGACCUGCCCCAGAUGUGGAGAGCACCAUUGUGGUGGCCUAGAUAGAGUGAAAGGAGGAGAGAAAGCCACAAAGUGCAUUCUCCCAAUUCCAUGUCCACAUUCCUGGCUGUGUGAGAACUGAUCUGUCUUAGGGGGCUUUUCUGGUUGUUUUGGAUAGACCCUCAGAAACAGUGAGCAAAGGAAACCUUCUUUCCUUAGGCUGUGUGCUCUCUGUGGUUUCGGUCACACUGUUAGAAAAGGAAACACCAACAUCCAUGAUCUGAAAAAUCACAGGGAGAAAAGAUGCUCAAACUGUAACAUUCGAGUUGUGCUCCUCUCUUCUUUGAGGUCUACCCUUUGUCCUGAAUGAGAUGGAACGGGAGAUAUGGCGGUUUGAAUAUGUACGGCCCCGUAGCAUCAUGUGCUCGAAUACUUGGUCCAUAAGGAGUGGCACUAUUAGGAGUAUGGCUUUGCUGGAGGAAGCCUGUCACUGUGGGAGCAGGCUUUGCGGGCUCAGAAGCUCAAACUAGCUCCAACGCCUGCUGGUCAGGAUGUUGAGCUCUCAGCCCCUUCUCCAGCACCAUGUCUGCCUAUAUGUCGACAUGCUCUCUUCUGUGACGAUAAUGAACUAACCUCCUGAAUUGUAAGCCAGACCUAAUUAAAUGUUUUCCUUUAUAAGAGUUGCCUUGGUCCUGGUGUCUCUUCACAACAAUAACCCCCUAAGACAGGAGACAAUAGAAAAGCCAGUGAGUGGUUUCCAUACAGUUCUCCAUCUUCUGGUUCUUCUCUACCUUGUCUUCAGAGUUUGGUAAGCAUUGGGGACCAAGGGGCCCCCUCCACUUGGGCUGGAAGUUCCCAAGGGGGUGGGAAUGGUGCUUUCAC